UACGAAGGGUGCAAACGUUGCUCGGAAUUAUUGGGCGUAAAGCGCACGUAGGCGGCUUAGCAAGUCGGAUGUGAAAUCCCACGGCUCAACCGUGGAAGUGCACUCGAAACUGCGCAGCUAGAGUCCUGGAGAGGAAGGUGGAAUGCUUGGUGUAGAGGUGAAAUUCGUAGAUAUCAAGCGGAACACCGGUGGCGAAGGCGACCUUCUGGACAGUGACUGACGCUGAGACGCGAAAGCGUGGGGAGCAAACAGG
rnacentral:rRNA from 1 species